rnacentral:lncRNA from 1 species
GUACCAGCAUCAAGAGAGAGUACGCUAUGGAUUCUUCAAGGGACAUCAUCUUGGCUUACAUGCAAAACGGCGAGCGUUUAAGCCCUGACCAUGGAUUUCCUGUGAGGGUAAUUAUUCCCGGAUUUAUUGGUGGGCGCAUGGUAAAAUGGUUAAAACGGAUAAUAGUUGCCACUCAGGAAUCUGAAAAUUAUUACCAUUACAAAGACAACCGGGUACUUCCCUCCCAUGUUGAUGCGGAGCUCGCAAACGCCGAAGGUACAAGAUCUAACAUUAACAGGCCAGAUCUCAUACAUAGUAAAGUUCUGUAAAGAAAAAAAUAGUUAAUUAUAGUGAUUAAUUGCAGCUUGGUGGUAUAAGCCGGAGUACAUAAUCAACGAACUGAACAUAAACUCGGUGAUAACGACGCCGUGCCAUGAGGAGAUCUUACCGAUAAACUCGUGGACAACUCAGAGACCAUACACAUUGAGGGGAUAUGCGUACUCUGGUGAGUUUUAUUUCCUUAAUAGAUCUGUAUUUGACAUCACUAUUACUGCUGUUUUUGGUAAUGACGUCAUACUUAUUAUGAUGCCCCCUAACCCAACCAUUAGAAUUUAGUUGCCAAUAAACUACGAAAUCAAGCGGCACCCAAACCGUAACCCUCUGGACGUAAGCCUAGUUACGGUACUUCGUAAUGCGUGCUUUCGAUAUGCAAAACAUCAAUUGUCCUCUCUUAUUUUUUGAACACAACUAUAUGAAAGCGUGCAACGUUGUCGUAUUGAGGGAUUAGGAGUAGAAUCUAUUUAUCCAAUUGUAUGUAUCUUAAUCCCAUUAAUUAUGAAAAUCGAUGAAUUGGGUCUGCGACAUUCAAGUUGCAUGUAAGAG